rnacentral:rRNA from 1 species
GACGAACGCUGGCGGCGUGCUUAACACAUGCAAGUCGAACGCUGAAGCUCAGCUUGCUGGGUGGAUGAGUGGCGAACGGGUGAGUAACACGUGAGUAACCUGCCCUCUUCUUUGGGAUAACGCCCGGAAACGGGUGCUAAUACUGGAUAUUCACUGAUUCUCGCAUGGGGGUUGGUGGAAAGGUUUUUUCUGGUGGGGGAUGGGCUCGCGGCCUAUCAGCUUGUUGGUGGGGUGAUGGCCUACCAAGGCUUUGACGGGUAGCCGGCCUGAGAGGGUGACCGGUCACAUUGGGACUGAGAAACGGCCCAGACUCCUACGGGAGGCAGCAGUGGGGAAUAUUGCACAAUGGGCGAAAGCCUGAUGCAGCGACGCCGCGUGAGGGAUGGAGGCCUUCGGGUUGUAAACCUCUUUCGCUCAUGGUCAAGCCGCAGCUUGGGGUUGUGGUGAGGGUAGUGGGUAAAGAAGCGCCGGCUAACUACGUG